rnacentral:lncRNA from 1 species
UUUCUUAACCAAUCUUGAGUCUCUUGACUUAUCCUCAAACAGAUUCAGCUCCCAGAUCCCACAAACCUUCGACUCCUUUUUAAAGCUUCAUGAAAUGAACCUGAGCAAAAACAAUUUCGAUGGACGCAUUCCCGGACUAACAAAGCUGACUCAGUUAACGCAUCUUGAUCUCAGCCACAACCAGCUCGACGGAGAAAUCCCAUCACAGCUCAGCUCCUUGCAGAGCCUCGACAAGCUCAACCUCUCACACAACAAUCUCUCAGGUUUCAUUCCAACAACUUUCGAGAGCAUGAAAGCGCUGACGUUCAUCGAUAUAUCAAAUAAUAAACUCGAGGGUCCGCUUCCAGACAAUCCAGCGUUUCAAAACGCAACAUCAGAUGCAUUGGAGGGAAACAGAGGCUUAUGCAGUAAUAUUCCUAAACAAAGGUUGAAAUCAUGCCCUAUCACUUCUGGUGGGUUCCAAAAGCCGAAGAAGAACGGCAACCUUCUUGUGUGGAUACUAGUGCCAAUCCUAGGAGCACUCGUCAUUCUCUCUAUAUGUGCAGGCGCAUUUACCUACUACAUUCGGAAACGAAAACCACACAAUGGAAGAAACACAGAUUCUGAAACUGGAGAGAAUAUGUCCAUAUUCAGCGUUGAUGGCAAAUUCAAAUACCAAGAUAUCAUCGAAUCAACAAACGAAUUCGAUCAAAGAUACCUCAUCGGAAGCGGAGGAUACAGCAAAGUCUACAAAGCAAACCUCCCAGAUGCGAUCGUAGCCGUGAAAAGGCUACAUGAUACAAUAGACGAAGAGAUAUCAAAGCCAGUGGUGAAGCAAGAGUUCCUAAACGAAGUAAGAGCGUUAACAGAGAUCCGUCACCGCAACGUGGUGAAGCUCUUCGGCUUCUGCUCCCACCGCCGCCACACGUUUCUGAUCUACGAGUACAUGGAAAAAGGAAGUUUAAACAAACUCUUAGCCAACGAAGAAGAAGCUAAGCGACUCACUUGGACCAAGAGGAUCAACAUCGUGAAAGGUGUGGCUCACGCGUUAUCGUAUAUGCACCAUGACCGAUCAACUCCGAUCGUCCACCGUGAUAUUAGCAGCGGCAACAUCCUUCUCGAUAAUGAUUACACAGCUAAGAUCUCUGAUUUUGGCACAGCGAAGCUUCUCAAGACGGAUUCAUCAAACUGGUCCGCCGUUGCUGGAACCUACGGCUACGUCGCUCCAGGUAAAUCUAAAUCAAUGAAAUUAAAAAAUCCCUAAAUUAAUUCGAAAUUGAAAUUGACUGUUUCUGAACUUUUCGCAACAGAGUUUGCUUACACGAUGAAGGUGACGGAGAAAUGCGAUGUGUAUAGCUUCGGGGUUUUGAUACUCGAGGUUAUAAUGGGGAAGCAUCCGGGAGAUUUGGUUGCGAGUUUGUCUUCGUCUCCGGGAGAAACUCUGUCCCUGAGAAGCAUUUCCGAUGAACGUAUAUUAGAACCACGGGGGCAGAAUAGAGAGAAGCUCAUAAAGAUGGUGGAAGUGGCUUUAUCGUGUUUACAAGCAGAUCCGCAAUCUCGGCCAACGAUGUUAUCAAUCUCUACAGCUUUUUCUUAGAACUCAUCUUCAUCAAUUUCUUCGACGAGGUAAAGAAAAUAACAAACUUUUUUAUAUAUUAUAAAUGUGUUUAUCAAUGCAACCGUAGUUAAAAAUUAAAAUCGUUUUUUUGGAAAGAAGGGAAGAAGAAAGAGAAGUCGUAAGGUGAAAGAAGAAGAAAGAAGAAAAAGACUUUGGGCCAUGUUGCAUUAAGGCCCAAUGUUAAUGGGUUAUUUUGUGUUGGUAAACUUUGAUAAUUAUGAAUUAGUUACGUUAAGAUCAAAUGUAGUAUAUAUAUGUUGUGUGGUUGUAAUAUCUAAUACUACUAUUUUUGCAACACUUUAUUGACGGGUGGGUAAAAAUGCUUCCGAAUAUAUCAGAUACCCGACCCGUUUUAAAAAUUCCUUCACAAAAAAACACUUGGAUCGGAUUAAAUAAAACCCAUUUAUUGCACCGGAUAUUCCAUAUUUAAUAAUUUAGAUAUUUAGAAGAUUUGAUUAAAAUUUAAAAUUUUGAUUCUCCUAUCAUGUUUGUUUGAUUUGUUUUUAACUGUUUUGAAUCAUAAUAUAAUACAUAAAGUAAUAAAAAAAAUCAAAAAAAAAAUCUGCAUAUACUGUGAUUCGAAAUUUUAAAAACGGACAUAUAUUAUCCAAUUGACGAAAAUGUAUGUUCAACGUUCUACAUCGAUUAAAAUAUUUAAACAAUGAUUCAUAAUCAUAUCAUAAAUAAGAUCAACAUUAAUAAAAUAAAUGAGUUUUUUUGGCGGGACGGGUUUUUGAAUCAACAAUAAUAAAAAGAUUAAAUAUCACUAAUCUGUCGCCUCAAUACAGAUUAAAUCCUUAAUUUUUUUUUAAUACCAUUAAUAUUAGACAUAUCAAAUCAGUCUCAUUUAGAAAAUAUUGUAUAAAAUUAAAAAUUGUCCCGUGGUAUAACGUUACUUAAUAACAAUUGUAUACUAUAAAAUAUAAAUGUCUUUGAAAAUGAUACAAUUUACAAACUUUUAUCUAUAAUAAUUAAUCGUUAAAUUUUUAAAAUUUACUAAUAUUAGAAAACAAAUUACGGGACGGGUUAAGAAAUUACAGGACGGGCUAUAUGGUGGACGAGUUUGAAUCAAUAUUUAUAAAAUUUUAAAAUAUCAUUAACAUGUCGCUUUAAUACAGAUUCAAUCCUUAGUUUAUUAAAAUAUAAAUGUCUUAGAGAAUGAUACAAUUUAUAAACUUUAUAUAUAAUAGAAAAUCAUUAGAUUUUAAAAUCACUACUUUUAGAAAACAAAUAACGGGAUGGGUUAAGAAAUUAUGGGACGGGUUAUAUAUAUUUUGGAACGGAUUUAUAUGGCGAACGGGUUUGAAUCAAUAUUUAUAAAAUUUUAAAAUAUCAUUAACAUGCCGCUUUAAUGCGAGUUAAAUCCUCAGUUUAUUAUUGUUCGGUGAACUAGUGAUAUACUGUUACUUGAUAAUAAUUAUAAACUAUAAAACAUAAAUAUUUUAUAAGGAGAUACAAUUUAUAAAAUUUUAUAUAUAUUAACUUUAAAAAAUAAAUCAUCCUGCGGUACACCGCGGGUUAAAAUCUAGUUAUCAUUAAGGAAGUAAGAGGAUAAACUAGGCCUCGGAAAAAUACCCGGAACCGAAUACCCGAACCAAAAAAUCCGAACAAUACCCGAACCGAACCCGAACCCGAUUUUUAAAAAUAUCCGAAUGGGUCCUAACCUCCUACCCGAAAAAAACCCGAACCGAACCCGAACCGAAUCCAAUACCCAAAUGUACCCGAAUAUACCCAAAUACAAAUAUACACCUAAAAAUAUUAGUUAUUUUUAUAUUUAUAAUACCCGAAAUACCUAAAAUUACAAUCAUAAAUCCGAAUAUAUUAGGUAUUUUAGAUAUUUUUGGUUAUAUUUGGGUAAAGAGUAACCAAUGUAUUUUCGAGAAAUCGGGUAUUUCGGUUAGAUUUGGGUAUAUAUGAGUUAAAAACCCGAACUCGACCCGAACCCGAAAAUAUUCCGGGUAUUUUUGGUUAUUUUCGGGUAUUUUGCUUUUUUAUUAAAAUACCCGAACCGACCCGAACCGAACCCGAACCGAAUUUUUAGAAUACCCGAAUGGAUCUUGACCCCCUAUCCGAAUAGACCCGAUACCCGAAAAAAAAGAACCGAACCCGAACGGGUACCCGAAUGCCCAGAUAAACGUUAAGUGGCUAAACCUAGCAAAGUCUAACAACCAUGACCAUCAAACCAUUCAUUGGUAAGUGUUCUCAUACUAGUAACGUAGACAAGUUACCUAGCUUUUUGAAAACACAAGUAAAAUGUGUGUUUAGCUAUCAAAUUGUUCAAACUUUUAUAUGAUGUCCAAACACUUUUAAAAUUGGUUCAAGAGACUAUAAAAUGAAAUAAAUUAAAUGCUACAUGAUUCGUCUAGAUAAAAACCACAUGAUUUUAUCCGAAUCUGAGUGACAAUUUUAGCCCAAACAGAUUCAUUUUGUGACCAAACAAACAUUUGAUUUACGCUACUAUAACUUUAGUUAUGACUAAUGUGGAUUUUUACUAAAUGACAAAAAUAACUCACUUGAUUUACCUAUAUCUUUUUUUCACAAGAAAGAAUCUCUGAACUUUUCAAAAUUUGUUAUUUAUUUAGUAAAAGGUAUUGUUUGUAAUAAAACUAAUAUUCUAAUAUUUAUAAUAUUGUCUUUGAACUUUUUCUUUUGGGCAAACUUUCUCUGAAAUUUUCAAAAUUUGUUAUUUAUUUAGUAAAAGAUAUAGUAAUAUGAGAAAAUUAACACAUAUGCCACAUUUGGCCCAAAUCUUUUCCAUUCUACCACAUUGCAUGCCCAUUUAUCACUUAUACCACAUGUGUCUUGUGUAAUGAUCAUUUUGCCCUUCCUUCUGUGUGCUCAAACUUCGGGGACAAAAUUCAUUGUUUGAACACACAAAAAGAAGCUUACAUACAGUUGUCCCUGAAGUUUGAGCCUUCCACAAUUUAUUUCUGACUGUUUUGUAGGAGGAUCAAUGUGUAACAUUGAUGGUACACACCAUUUGAUAUCUUUUCCUACUUGCUUAUUUUCUUUCCUAGAACCGGAAAUACUUUCUCAUCAAAAUAAUAAUUGGCAAAAUGUGCCGUAAAGACAUCACCAUUAUGUGGUUCUAGGUAUCAUAUAAUUGAUAGAGAAUCAUAGCCAAUAUAUAUACCCAACCUUCUUUGUACGUUGUGGUGGUGCUAUAUGCACAUACACUGCACAACCAAAAAUUUCUUAAAUGUGAUAUAUUUGGUUCUCGACCAAAUGCUAAAUGUAAUGAGGAGUAUUUAUGAUAUGCAAUUGGUUUAUCCGAAUGAGUGAUUCUGCAUGGAAAAUGGCAUGUCCCCAUACAUAGGUUGGAAGUUUUGAUCUCAUGAUUAAUGGUCUUCCAAUCAAUUGCAGACAUUUAAUUAAUGAUUCCGCCAAAUCAUUUUGUGUAUGAACAUGAACUACAGGAUGUUCAACUUCAAUUCCCGUUACCAUAAAAUAAUUGAUAACAUGGGAUUUUCGCUCAUAUUUACUAUUGUUUUCUUAUGUUUUAGGGAGCAUUUAGAGUGAUUUCAGAGCUAAGAAGGAGUUAUUCAAGUAUUUAUGGAGCCAAGAAGGUUUUAAGAGUUUUUGAGCUUUAAAGACCAAUAGGCGAUCAAAACCCGUUUCCAGAUCAAGACAGUUUCUGUGCGUCAGAAGUAUGGCGUCCGUUCGAGGUCUUCCCGAUUACCAAAUCAAGAGAUCUCGGUGGCUAUGGAAAGCUAAAGGAUUCAGAAUUCUCCUCGAAGUGGAAUCAGAGCUUUUCAACGAGCCAAUCCGAAGUUAUGACCAGAAGAGUGAAGACAUGUCCAGACCGGCCAGAAGCUAUGCAACCGAUCCGGAGCUUCUGGGCCACACCGACCACUUGGGCCGAGCUCGGGCUGCCUCUCACUCUCCACACCAGCCCUUAAGACUUCUCCCUUGCAUGAAACUCGAGUUUGCAUUUAAACCUAAUCACGGGAAAAGACGCUUUUACCCCUAGACCUAAUCCUUGGUCUCCAAACCCUAUAAAUACAUGAUGGAAGCCCUAACCCUAGGUGUGCCUUCGAAGUGUCUUCCAAGAGCUGCUGUGAAGCCCUAGAGUUCGUCCUUGCCCUCGCUGUGAGCUGCAGCCGUCGUUCCUUGAAGUUCUGAAGAACCACCAAAUCUCUCUCUCUUUUCUCUUGUUUACUCUAAGACCUAUUAAGGUGAAGUCUUACCUCUUGUAUUCUACAUUCAAAGAAGUAAUCUCUAAACCCUAUUCAGUUCUUAUUCUUCUUUUUCUUAUGAGUUUAUCAAACCUAACUUUGAUGAUCUCUUUAACCAUGCUAGAGUAGUUUUCUAGUUGGGUUUAAAGGGUUAAUCAAAGGGGGGGGGGGAGGGGAAUAUGGCCGAUCGUUUAGGUGGCAAUAUCUAGGGUUUUGUUUGAUCGUUUACACUGUAUUCUUUCUAAGUAAGUUUUUUCUUAAUGCAUGUAGUUAGAUUCAUGUCCUAACUUGUGAUCCCAAGUGUUUAAAUUGCUCACAAGGUUGUUUAAUACGCUAGACCCAGCUUACGAAUGUGUAUCGUGUCAUAACAAGCACACACCACUUAGUUAUAGGGCUUUAUGGACUAGAAUCGAAUUUGAUCUUAUUGCUUUGAUAUAUGCGUCGUUGCCUGCGUUAGUUGAGUAACGGAGUAUAAGGAUUUUAGCCGACUUAUCCUAUAACCUAGUAUAAGCCGAAUCUUAGUGUUUCGUAUGUCCGAGACUUGGAAGUAAACAAACCUAAUUCUAGUAUUACUUAGAUAGCGAUCAUUGAACCCCCUGCGAUACCCUUGACGCCCAACGUUUGUCUCUCAUAGUUUUCUUACGUUAUUUACUUGCUUUUUACUUUGCUUUCUUAUUGCUUUCUCAUUUACUUUUACUUGCAUUUGUGACACCACAACCAACUCCCUUUUAUUGUUUUGUCCUAGCUUUACUUUUUCUUAAUAAGCUUGUCUGAACUACUUCUCUCUCUGUGGAUUCGAUACCCUAAGUACUACGAUUGAUUGCUGUGCACUUGCAGCUUAUUAAUUGUGUUAUAUGGGAUUUUUAAAACCUGAUACGUAUCCCGCACACAUCAAGUUUUUGGCGCCGUUGCCGGGGAGAGAUUGUUAGUUCCACAAGUUUGAGGACUAGAGUAAACUCUAGGACUUUUGCUUUUUAAUUUUUAGUUUUGAUUUUCACUGUUUCAGGAAACCUUACACUUUCGGAGUAAACCUUACACUUUCGGAGUUCUGAGAGCUUUUCCCGAAGAAUAUCAAAACCUUACACUUUCGCAGUUCGUAGCAUUACAAGAGCUUUCGGACGAUCACAUGUACGGACCAACCCUUGGUACGUAUGGGCUGACCCGCGGUGCAUACCGCACUCACCAUUGGAGACUUUGAGCCGAUCGGACCGUCCCGCAGAAACCACCGCUGGACCGGCCACAAAGCCCGUGACCGGGGUGACCCCUUCUGUCCGGACCGGUCACGAGGCACACCAACCGGUCUGGCCCCUGCCCGACCACUUCACGUCUUCCACCACACCAUUCGAUCCUCUGGAGAUCAAAUCAUUGGGAGACACCAUUCACCACGUCAUGGAGCUGCAAACCAUGAUGGAGAGUACUGCUAUCCGCAAGAAGUAAUGAGUGUAGACGUUCACCCGAACAACUACCCUUUUCGCAACCAUGAGUCAUUCGUUCCAAGGAGAGAAGCCACGGAGGAAAAACUUAUGGAGAUCAUGCAGCAGUUACUUGAAUGCCAAGAGAAGGGCAUGAAGGAGAUUGAUUCGAGAUUCACAGAGAUGAAAGCCGAAUUCGAUUCAAAGAUUGGUGCACUUACCGUAGACAUCAAACGUGUAGAAGAACAAGUUGGUGAUGUCAAGAAUGAACUCAUAAACCACUUUGAGGACAUUCAAGACCACAAUACCAAGAUCAUCAACAUGGGAUACUCGAUUGAUUCCGUUGAGAGUCAUCUAAUGUGGAGGAUUGAGGAGAUACAAGAAGGAUUUACUAAUCCUAAUAAGUUUCCCGAGUGGAGAAGUGACCAAUCCUACCAUGACAAAGAGAAAGAAGCCGCAGCCCCCGAUGAGAAUCAUAUCACCGAUUCUAAGUCUAAGGAUAAAGACUACCCCACCGAUGAAGAAGAAGCUUAUUUCAAUGAGCAAAUCAACGAAAGCCGUCUUGAAGACUAUCCAAGAAGGAAUGAUGAGUUUACCGAAUCAUCUAACGAAGGAGAUGAUAGAGAUGAGGAGGAAGAACUCAAAGAUGUCUAUUCUUGUAUGACAACUCGGAUUCCUAAUGAAGAAGUUCCCGAAACCCCUAAUUUCGGACAACUUCGGAACCAUGGAGAGGCUACCUUCCAAGGUAACCUUAGACCACCGCCAUUGAAAUUUUCUCAUUGUGCUAGUGAAGAUUGGGAAUCCAUCCCAAGAAGCCGUGAAGGACGUUUUCAUUCACCUUGUCCAAGGAGGACCGAGAACGAUCAAGAAAGGUUCACACCGAACCGUUUCUCUUUUCGCCAACCAAACCCGCCUAUUCAAGGCCAUUCUCGUGUACCAUGGAGGCAGAAAAGUCAUGAGGAGAAACUUGAGAGCUUGAUGAGCCAAUACUUGGAUCAACAAGCUUUGGACACGAGGACACUACACGCACGAAUCGAUAAGAUCAAUAGUGUUCUUUUAGGUAAGAUCGGUGAGCUAUCUCUUCACCCUAGAAGAAAGAGAGGUCAAAGUGGCCAAGAUGAUAUAAGGAGAAUUCAAUCAAAGGUGAAUGGCAUAAACAGAAGCAUAUGGAGACUUCAAACCCGCAUCAUGAACUUGGAAAGUAACGAUGAGAAAGAAGAUGUGGCUCUAGAAGAUGUAAUUAGACGACAAGGAGAAGUCGAAGAUAACAACAUAAAGUGUAUUGAAGGGCAAUCACACAUCCGAUGUGAUUUGUUACCAUAUAAUAAUCAUGGAAUGUUUGGGAUGUGAAUUCACUAGCGUUGUCUAGUCUAACUCUUUUAAUGGAAUAAUUAGAGAACUGAGCUUUUAAUUUGAUUUUCUGAGUUAUAAAUCUCGCAAAUAUCAAAUUUCGAGAUGACAAUAAACAAACAUGUAACCAUUUGCUAGAUGCGUCAAUCAAUACCAUAAAAUAGUGGAAUGGUCGACAAGGUGGAUGUAUCGGUCCACAUUUAUCAACUUGAAACUCGUUCAAAGAACUUUGGUGAUUCUUUAUCAAUUUUGGUUGACGAUGGUCUUAUGAUCAAUUUUCCAAGAGAACAUGAUACACAUGUCAAUUUAUUUCCUUGAUUUAUCUCAUGAUUUUUCAAUGAGUGUCCAUGUGAGCUCUCUAUGAUUUUCGCAUCAUUGUGUUGCCUGGAUGACCAAGGCGAUCAUGCCAUAAUACGAUUCUAUGGCAUCUAUAUAGGUAUGAUGCAAACCAAAAGAAAGUUCUGGAAAUCUUUCCAAGACAUGCCUUUUUCCAAAUUUAUUAGAAGUUAUACAUAUACCUCUUCCCAUUCUCAGUGGCAGACUGAGUUUCAUAUCCUUGAAGGUAUAUGUCUUGGAAACUCAACAAAUUCUUCUUAGAAUUCGGAGAAUAUAAGGCAUUAUCUAUGGAAAACUUUGUUCCAUUAGGCAAUUUAAAAUUUGCUUUGCCACUUCCUUCGAUCAAGUCCGUAGGAUCCGCUAUUGUAUUGAUAAUAGUUUUUGUCGGUUUUCGAUGAAUUAGUAGAUCGAUAACCUGUUAGGAUUAAUCAAUAGAGUUCUUCACCUUAGGUUGUUCUUAAUGCUAGUUCUAGAGUAGCUAACUAGAACUUGAUCUUAGGAUAAUAGGUUAGAUACGAGAAUGCGCCUGUUACCGGAACUAUCCUAGGUGGACAGAAAUUACUAGAUUCAGACGAGAGUUUGUCUAGGAAUCUAUGUGAACAUAUCAAACCGGAUUUUAAUGCUAGCCUAAUUUUAGGAGUUUACAGACGAGAGUUAGAACUUCCUGCUAUUAGGUUUAGUUAGUCAAUUCAGGCGAGAGUUGGUUGGCUAUAGCUUAGUGAUUUAAGUUCUAGAACGGUUCGAUAAUAAUCCUAAUUUAUUGCUAAGAUCUCUUAUUUGUUUAUUUUCUGAGAAAUUCCCUAAACCUAACGCUUUAAUCUAUAUAAACUUUCAUCAAUUUAAUUGCUCUUUUUAUUUUUAUUUUAUCAUAUUUUAUUUAGCUGAAUUUCGAAACUGAUAGCUUAUUGUGUGAACAAAAGACCUUUGUGGAAUCCGACCCUUAAGUACUAAAGUGAUCUCUUAUUAAAGAGAAAGAGAGUGGUCUUAAGGUUAAUGUUGAUCCGUAUCAUCUACAUCCAUGUCCUCUCCGCCCUCUGCUGAAGGUUUAGAUUCAAUCGGUGGUUGCCCUGAGCUCUUCUCCUCCUUUGACAGUGAUGUUCGUCUCCAUCAGAUUGUUUCUCCCUCCGGAACCUCCUCCAUUACCGCAUCUGCCACAGCCACCAGAUCCAUCUAAAUCCUCGAUGACAAAGAUUUGGGAAUCAUUGCUUGUUAGCCCUUUAUUGAGUCUCACCUGCACCUUUUGGCCUCCUUCUCAUGAUCUGCUCCCUCCUUCCUCCACCUCGUCCCUUCUAGAGAUUGUCGAUCUGUGUUUUCCGGUGGCCCCUCCAUUGACCUUAUCUUGUUGGGCCUGGCCCAUUAUUUAUUCUUCUUGGUGCAGUCAUAAGAUUAUCAUCUUCGUGGGCCUGUUUAGCCUUUGACCCAAUGAAAGAAUGAUUUUGGAGUGCCCUAGUUGGCUAGCGAGAACCAUACUACUGUUUGUGUCUGUCGUCCUCCGCCUCUCCACCAAGCCGCCUUCGUCCCUCGCGUCAUAGGAUACUUCUUCGGCGACUUCAGCGGAUACUUCUCCGGCCUCUUCACUGGAUACUUCUCCAACUUCUUCUGGUUCAGAUUUUGCCUUUUUCCGACAAAGUUUGUUUAUCGGAUACUUCACCGACGUCUUCAUAUCUGCGUUUGCGGCAGAUCCAGGUUGUGUCAAGCCUAGAACCGCAUUUGUUGGUUCGAAUUUCGUCUUAAAGUCACAUUGUUUGAUGACUAUAUCUUUACCAGUUGAUGAUUAUGUGUUGAAUGUAUUUUCUCUCAUAAGCAUGCUCGUGAUAGUUUGGUUUGACAUUUCUCCUGGUACCCUAUCAAUCAGAUACUUCACCGAUGUCUCCAUAUCUUCGUUUGCGGCGUAUCCAGGUUGUGUCAAGCCUAGAACCGCAUUUGUAGGUUCGAAUUCGUCUUACCGUCACAUUGUUUGGUGACUAUAUCUUUACCAGUUGAUGAUUAUGUGUUGAAUGUGUUUUCUCUCAUGGGCAUGCUCGUGAUAGUUUGGUUUGACAUUUCUCCUGGUACCCUAUCAAUCUCCAUCGAGCUUGUGUCUCUAUGUUUAAUUUAUGUCUGCGUUUGUACUUUAUCUUCCAAGUUUGCUAUUCGGGUCUGUCCGAAUAUGCCUAAUCCUCUUGUAUCCUUCUAGUUUGAUAUAAGAUUUUGGUGCACAAAACAAAAAAAGAAACAACAUUAUUUUAAAACAACUGAAAUACAUAAUACUUAUAUAAUAACAUUAUCGGAGACUAGUAGUCACUACAAGCAUUUUAAUUAUCCGAUGAGCGGUCAAAUUAAUCUUUUCCGCUAUUAGAAGUGCCACAAACAAAUUCAAGAAUUUGGUGUACUCGCACGACAUAUAUAGUACUCGCUGGGUAAUUUGGUUUUCAUGAAAUGCGGCAUAUGUUUUCUCAAACAUUUGAGAAUCGGUGAUAAUAUCACCAUAAUAUUUUAGUUUAACCACAAUUUCCAUCAUAGCGGAAUUAUAAUCCAUCACUUUGGGUAUUUUUUCUCUUUUAUGCUUUUCAUUGAGCCAAGAGAUAGUAAAUGUAUUUUGACGUAAGCAAUCCAAAAUAUAUAAUCAGCCACAGUAAUAUUUAGAGUUUUCCUUUUCUUGACCCGUCGAAGUAUUUUUCUCUUUUACUUUUUUUCUUUUUUUCUCAUUUUUUUUCUUUUCACUAGGCGACAUACUGUCCGGUAUAAUACAGUUUUUUUUUCGGCGAUGAUAGAGUAAUUGUGCCAAUAACAUGUUAUAAAUAAUUACUUUAUUUUAUAGUGAAUAUAAAUAAUAAAUAAGAGAGAAAUUUUAUACUCACUGAAUGAUCGGAUACUGAAAAAUAAAGAGACGAGAGAGAUAUGUUUAUUACUUCUCUUGUAAUUGAAGUAAUUUGGGCUCCACACAAAUUAUAUUUUACUCGUAAAAUUUUUUACGUGUAAGCUUCUAUUGUUGACGCUUGAUAUUGUUGACGUUUGUUUUUAUGACUUUUGUAACAAUAUGAAAUUUUUAAAAAUUUAAUCGAAUAACACCAAAACUUUUAAAAAAUGUAAAGCAUGAUUUACAAAUUACAAUUAUCAUAAUAAAGAACAUGAGAUUUUAAUGCAUAAUUUAUAAUAAAUAACUGAAUAAUAACCGAUUGUGCAUAAAUUUAAGUUUUAUUACAUGAUUGAAUAAUACCCCUAAACACCAUUAUCAUUCUACCUAUAAAAUUAAAAAACCUACACAAUUUGAGCUAUUAAAAUCCUUAAAAAAAAAAAUUGAAGAUUGUUACAAAAGAGGAAGACUAUAAGAAAACGUAUGCUAAGAAAAAAAAAACUUUUGAAUACGACUACAUUAGAUUGUUUUUCUUCCGUGAAACAAAAGUCAAGCGAAUUGUGGGAAAAAAAAAAAAAGAAGUAAUAGUUAAUGAUGAAUAAAUUACCACUACCCGGUCGUCACUGACUCGCAAGUCUUCUUGGCCAAUAUUAUCUUCCAAAACACAAUGACCAAUAUUCAUUCACUCAACAGAAUGUUCAACGAAGAACCCGUAAGCACUUUUUUAUACCUGAUUUCGUAAUUUCACAAAGUAAAAUAGUAAUUCGAACCCACUUUUCUAUACCUUCAUUAUCAAGGAGACGACUCCAAGUCAAUCACUGAGUGCACAUGAGAGAUUAUUAAAUAGCCAGAACUUGGAUAGCUUUCUCUAACACCAAGAGAGAAAGAGAAGAGAGAGAGAGUGAGAGUAAGUGAGGAUGGGUUUUGCAGAGAAUAAUCCUAAUGAUCUUCUUUUUCUUUUGUUCAUAUCAAUAAUUUUGAGCUGUUCUAUUUCAGCUUCUGCAACUAUCGCGGAAGCAAAUGCUCUUCUGAAAUGGAAAUCCACUUUCACGAACCAGAAACGCUCAUCAAAGCUGUCUUCAUGGGUCAAUGAUGCAAACACCAAUACUAGCUUCUCAUGCACAAGUUGGUAUGGUGUUUCCUGCAACUCACGAGGGAGUAUCAAAAAGUUAAACCUCACUGGCAACGCUAUAGAAGGUACUUUCCAAGAUUUCCCCUUCUCUUCUCUCCCAAACCUUGCUUACAUUGAUUUUAGCAUGAACCGUUUCUCUGGAACCAUCCCUCCUCAAUUCGGAAACCUCUUUAAACUCAUCUACUUUGACCUCUCCACAAACCACUUAACUAGAGAAAUCCCACCUGAGCUUGGCAAUUUGCAAAACCUCAAAGGCCUCUCUCUUUCUAAUAACAAACUUGCCGGUUCAAUUCCUUCUUCCAUAGGGAAACUCAAGAACUUGACGGUUCUUUAUCUUUAUAAGAACUAUCUAACUGGUGUCAUUCCCCCGGAUCUAGGCAACAUGGAAUACAUGAUUGAUUUAGAGUUAAGUCAUAACAAACUUACCGGUUCAAUUCCUUCUUCCUUAGGAAAUCUCAAGAACUUGACGGUUCUUUAUCUUCAUCACAAUUAUCUUACUGGUGUCAUUCCCCCGGAACUAGGCAACAUGGAAUCCAUGAUCAGUUUAGCUUUAAGUGAGAACAAACUUACCGGUUCAAUUCCUUCUUCCUUAGGAAAUCUCAAGAACUUGACUGUUCUUUAUCUUCAUCAGAAUUAUAUAACUGGUGUCAUUCCCCCAGAACUAGGCAACAUGGAAUCCAUGAUUGAUUUAGAGUUAAGUCAGAACAAUCUUACAGGUUCAAUUCCUUCUUCCUUUGGUAACUUUACCAAGCUGAAAAGUUUGUAUCUCAGUUAUAACCACCUCUCUGGUGCGAUCCCGCCGGGAGUAGCAAACUCUUCAGAGCUAACUGAAUUGCAACUCGCCAUAAACAACUUCAGCGGUUUCUUGCCUAAGAACAUUUGCAAAGGUGGCAAGCUUCAGUUUAUCGCUUUAUAUGAUAAUCACCUCAAAGGUCCUAUCCCGAAAAGCUUGAGAGAUUGCAAGAGCCUGAUCAGAGCAAAAUUUGUAGGGAACAAAUUCGUUGGAAAUAUUUCUGAAGCAUUUGGGGUUUACCCAGAUCUUAAUUUCAUUGAUCUCAGCCACAAUAAAUUCAACGGUGAAAUUUCAAGCAACUGGCAGAAGAGCCCAAAGCUAGGUGCCUUGAUCAUGUCAAACAACAACAUCACGGGUGCUAUCCCACCUGAGAUUUGGAACAUGAAACAACUGGGCGAGCUAGAUCUAUCUGCCAACAACCUAUCUGGUGAACUUCCAGAAGCAAUUGGAAAUCUCACGAAUUUGUCGAGGCUCAGACUUAAUGGGAAUCAGUUAUCUGGAAGAGUUCCUGCAGGAAUAAGUUUUUUAACCAAUCUUGAGUCUCUUGACUUAUCCUCAAACAGAUUCAGCUCCCAGAUCCCACAAACCUUCGAUUCCUUUUUAAAGCUUCAUGAAAUGAACCUGAGCAGAAACAAUUUCGAUGGACGCAUUCCCGGACUAACAAAGCUGACUCAGUUAACGCAUCUUGAUCUCAGCCACAACCAGCUCGACGGAGAAAUCCCAUCACAGCUCAGCUCCUUGCAGAGCCUCGACAAGCUCAACCUCUCACACAACAAUCUCUCAGGUUUCAUUCCAACAACUUUCGAGAGCAUGAAAGCGCUGACGUUCAUCGAUAUAUCAAAUAAUAAACUCGAGGGUCCGCUUCCAGACAAUCCAGCGUUUCAAAACGCAACAUCAGAUGCAUUGGAGGGAAACAGAGGCUUAUGCAGUAAUAUUCCUAAACAAAGGUUGAAAUCAUGCCCUAUCACUUCUGGUGGGUUCCAAAAGCCGAAGAAGAACGGCAACCUUCUUGUGUGGAUACUAGUGCCAAUCCUAGGAGCACUCGUCAUUCUCUCUAUAUGUGCAGGCGCAUUUACCUACUACAUUCGGAAACGAAAACCACACAAUGGAAGAAACACAGAUUCUGAAACUGGAGAGAAUAUGUCCAUAUUCAGCGUUGAUGGCAAAUUCAAAUACCAAGAUAUCAUCGAAUCAACAAACGAAUUCGAUCAAAGAUACCUCAUCGGAAGCGGAGGAUACAGCAAAGUCUACAAAGCAAACCUCCCAGAUGCGAUCGUAGCCGUGAAAAGGCUACAUGAUACAAUAGACGAAGAGAUAUCAAAGCCAGUGGUGAAGCAAGAGUUCCUAAACGAAGUAAGAGCGUUAACAGAGAUCCGUCACCGCAACGUGGUGAAGCUCUUCGGCUUCUGCUCCCACCGCCGCCACACGUUUCUGAUCUACGAGUACAUGGAAAAAGGAAGUUUAAACAAACUCUUAGCCAACGAAGAAGAAGCUAAGCGACUCACUUGGACCAAGAGGAUCAACAUCGUGAAAGGUGUGGCUCACGCGUUAUCGUAUAUGCACCAUGACCGAUCAACUCCGAUCGUCCACCGUGAUAUUAGCAGCGGCAACAUCCUUCUCGAUAAUGAUUACACAGCUAAGAUCUCUGAUUUUGGCACAGCGAAGCUUCUCAAGACGGAUUCAUCAAACUGGUCCGCCGUUGCUGGAACCUACGGCUACGUCGCUCCAGGUAAAUCUAAAUCAAUGAAAUUAAAAAAUCCCUAAAUUAAUUCGAAAUUGAAAUUGACUGUUUCUGAAAUUUUCGCAACAGAGUUUGCUUACACGAUGAAGGUGACGGAGAAAUGCGAUGUGUAUAGCUUCGGGGUUUUGAUACUCGAGGUUAUAAUGGGGAAGCAUCCGGGAGAUUUGGUUGCGAGUUUGUCUUCGUCUCCGGGAGAAACUCUGUCCCUGAGAAGCAUUUCCGAUGAACGUAUAUUAGAACCACGGGGGCAGAAUAGAGAGAAGCUCAUAAAGAUGGUGGAAGUGGCUUUAUCGUGUUUACAAGCAGAUCCGCAAUCUCGGCCAACGAUGUUAUCAAUCUCUACAGCUUUUUCUUAGAACUCAUCUUCAUCAAUUUCUUCGACGAGGUAAAGAAAAUAACAAACUUUUUUAUAUAUUAUAAAUGUGUUUAUCAAUGCAACCGUAGUUAAAAAUUAAAAUCGUUUUUUUGGAAAGAAGGGAAGAAGAAAGAGAAGUCGUAAGGUGAAAGAAGAAUAAAGAAGAAAAGAACUUUGCUCUACUUUCUCUGCUCUACUUUCUCUGCUCAUUGCAAUGUCACUUCACGCCGUUCGAGUACUAUCCUGUGUUCUCUCUCUAAACCUUCACUUAAUUUGGCUAAACCUGUGUCUGGAUUUCUUUCUCCUUCCACUGCGUCGACGUCUCGAACCGCAUUCACCGUCGCUCCUAAAUCUCAAGAACUUGACUGUUCUUUAUCUUCAUCAGAAUUAUAUAACUGGUGUCAUUCCCCCAGAACUAGGCAACAUGGAAUCCAUGAUUGAUUUAGAGUUAAGUCAGAACAAUCUUACUGGUUCAAUUCCUUCUUCUUUUGGUAACUUUACCAAGCUGGAAAGUUUGUACCUCCGUGAUAACCACCUCUCUGGUACGAUCCCGCGAGGAGUGGCAAACUCUUCAGAGCUAACUGAAUUGCUACUCGACAUAAACAAUUUCACCGGUUUCUUGCCUGAAAACAUUUGCAAAGGUGGCAAGCUUCAGAAUUUUUCAUUAGAUUAUAAUCACCUCGAAGGUCAUAUCCCGAAAAGCUUGAGAGAUUGCAAGAGCCUGAUCAGAGCAAAAUUUGUAGGGAACAAAUUCAUUGGAAAUAUUUCUGAAGCAUUUGGGGUUUACCCAGAUCUUGAUUUCAUUGAUCUCAGCCAUAAUAAAUUCAACGGUGAAAUUUCAAGCAACUGGCAGAAGAGUCCAAAGCUAGGUGCCUUGAUCAUGUCAAACAACAACAUCACAGGUGCUAUUCCACCAGAGAUUUGGAACAUGAAACAACUGGGCGAGCUAGAUCUGUCUACCAACAACCUCACUGGUGAGCUUCCAGAAGCAAUUGGAAAUCUCACGGGUUUGUCGAAGCUACUACUGAAUGGGAAUAAGUUAUCUGGAAGAGUUCCUACGGGUUUAAGUUUCUUAACCAAUCUUGAGUCUCUUGACUUAUCCUCAAACAGAUUCAGCUCCCAGAUCCCACAAACCUUCGACUCCUUUUUAAAGCUUCAUGAAAUGAACCUGAGCAAAAACAAUUUCGAUGGACGCAUUCCCGGACUAACAAAGCUGACUCAGUUAACGCAUCUUGAUCUCAGCCACAACCAGCUCGACGGAGAAAUCCCAUCACAGCUCAGCUCCUUGCAGAGCCUCGACAAGCUCAACCUCUCACACAACAAUCUCUCAGGUUUCAUUCCAACAACUUUCGAGAGCAUGAAAGCGCUGACGUUCAUCGAUAUAUCAAA